UACGAAGGGGGCGAGCGUUGUUCGGAUUUACUGGGCGUAAAGGGCGCGCAGGCGGUUCUGUUUGUCGAGUGUGAAAGCCCCGGGCUCAACCUGGGAACUGCGCUCGAAACGGCGGAACUAGAGUUCGGGAGAGGAGAGUGGAAUUCCCAGUGUAGAGGUGAAAUUCGUAGAUAUUGGGAAGAACUCCGGUGGCGAAGGCGGCUCUCUGGACCGAUACUGACGCUGAGGCGCGAAAGCGUGGGGAGCGAACAGG
rnacentral:rRNA from 1 species